AUUGAACGCUGGCGGCAGGCUUAACACAUGCAAGUCGAACGAGUGGCGGACGGGUGAGUAAUGCUUGGGAAUCUAGCUUAUGGAGGGGGAUAACUACGGGAAACUGUAGCUAAUACCGCGUACCAUAGGAUGAGCCCAAGUGGGAUUAGGUAGUUGGUGCGGUAAUGGCUCACCAAGCCGACGAUCUCUAGCUGGUCUGAGAGGAUGACCAGAAACAAUGGGACGGAGACACGGACCAGAAUCCUACGGGCGGCAGCAGGGGGGAAUAUUGCGAAAGGGGGGCAACCUGAGGCAGCCAUGCCGAGUGAAUGAAGAAGGCCUUCGGGUUUGAAAGUUUGUUCGGUAGGGAGGCGUUAACUACAGAAGAAGCACCGGCUAACUCCGUGCCAGCAGCCGCGGUAAUAC
rnacentral:rRNA from 1 species